rnacentral:rRNA from 1 species
AUUGAACGCUGGCGGCAGGCCUAACACCUGCAAGUCGAACGAGUGGCGGACGGGUGAGUAAUGUCUGGGACACUGCCUGAUGGAGGGGGAUAAAUACUGGAAACGGUAGCUAAUACCGCAUACCAUCGGAUGUGCCCAGAUGGGAUUAGCUAGUAGGUGGGGUAAAGGCUCACCUAGGAGACGAUCCCUAGCUGGUAUGCGAGGAGGACCAGCCACACUGGAACUGAGACAAGGUCCAGACUCCUACGGGAGUCAGCAGUGGGGAAUAUUGCACAAUGGGCGCAAGCCUGAUGCAGCCAUGCCGCGUGUAUGAAGAAGGCCUUCGGGUUGUAAAGUACUUUCAGCGGGGAGGCGUUACCCGCAGAAGAAGCACCGGCUAACUCCGUGCCAGCAGCCGCGGUAAUAC